UUCGUUCUUGGCUGAUCUCUGCGUUUCUGUUGUUGAUAGAGUGAAGGAGAGGGAGAGAAUUGUAGAGAAUAGGUGCUGUGUGAGAGAAUUGCAGAGAAUAGGUGCUGUGUGUUGUGAUCGUGUUUGUUUUCCUUUUUAUGGUUUUGUUUCGGUGGACGCGACCUUUUUUCUUUCUCCUCUGCGUUCUUGGGAGAGAGUUGCAGAGAAUAGGAGUUCAUGUUAGUAACGAGAGGGAAGACGAAGAUUGGAAUUAGAUCGAGGAAAGCAGGAGAGUACUUUCUUUGGCAAUUUUGUUUUGUUGGCGAUUUCGGGUUUGUUGGAAACUCAGGUGCAUAUGAUUUGCUUCAAUGGAUUAAUGUUUUCUUUCACUUUUCUACCUGUUGUAAUCGGUGUUUGUUUUGUUUUUGUUGGGUCAAGGAGGUGUUGGGCUCAUUGUCGCGAUCUUCUGUCUCUCUCUCAUUCUCUUCGUUUUUGGCUGGGUUCUUCGCAUGUAGAGAUGGGUAGCUGAGAAAGAUGAGAUUAUCCACUUUCCGACUGUCAAGAUGAAGAGGAAGCUCCCCAUUUCAAUCACAUCCACGAUCACGUAAUCUGCUCUAGCUCAUCAAGGAAAUUCAGUACAGUAUAUCUCAAGCUAAGACCAAUCAUGGGGAUAUCAUUGAAGCCAACUAGCCAUGGAGGUUCUCAAAAAAUUGGAUGCAACUUCUAAACAAUGCUAGGCGUUUUGCUCUGUUUCACUCUGCUCUUUUGGUUCCAACUCUGGAGAAAGUGAUAGUGGUAUUGGUUAAGUCAAUGAAGAAUCCAAGGACUGCUCUUAUCAAGACCUCCGAAGUCAAUGAAGAAUCCAAGGACUGCUCUGAUCAAGACCUCAAUCAUGGCUGGCUUCAGCUGAUAUCUUCAAUGCCUUUGGUGACAGUUCGCUCGACUCCACCACCCCUGAUGCAUUUGACCAAUUGGUGUGUAUCCAAUCGUGUUGUACUACUUCUCAAUUUUGAUCAUCAUAUUAACAGCUUGGAUUGCAUGAUGGGUUUUUGCAACUGUUGCAAUUGCUGCUGGAGGCCUCACAAUACAAGACGUUUGUUUGUGAAGAAGCAGACAAGGCACUAAGAGCAGUGGUGAAGUAUUUGACAACUCUGCCUCUACUUCAUAGGCUUAAAGGCUAUGUCACCCAUGCCCACCUCAAAGAAGCUAUAAGAAGCAGAAGAGGAAUCAGUCAUGGAACAAGAAAUCAAGGUCAAAACAUUCACUACUGAUUUAACUUAAAGGUUGAGAAUUUAGCAUGUUAGUUCUUCAUGGGCAUGUAUUACUGAAUCAUGUAAACGAAUGAUGAUAAUCAAAAUGUAACAGUAGGAUGGUCUGUUGCUACCAAAACCAAGAACAAAUGUUCUAAUUCUAUAAGGAUUCAACAAUACCAGCUCAUAAAAUGAAGAAAAAGGUCAAGCUUUCAGGGAAGUUGCCUUCAGAAAUAAGAUAUGAAACAGCAUCCUGCAGAUAUGUGUGGUGAUUAUUUAGAGCAACAGACUAAUUUCACUGUUGUGACUGCAAGUACUAAAUAAGAGAAGUGGUCGCGGCUCAUUAUUUUCUUUCUUUCAUUCUUUCUAUGGGUUGUGUUAAUCUGUAAUAUCAAAAAUCCACAAUGCAUACCAAGCACACAAAACCAAAGACCAAUUCCUUUUGCUGAAAUCCCCAAACCAAGUUUGAUGUGAUUCUGGUGAAGAAUUUCAAGUAACCUGCUUUAAUCCCGCGGCAAAGCGCUGGGGAUUGCAUUUCAAUUUUGCGAUUUCUGUCAGGUACUUCCAGUAAAAUAACACCAUUGCAGCUGGAAGGCUUGCUGACCUUAGGGAGCACAUCAAGACUUUGGUUGGUAAAUGUUUCCCUUGAUAUAUUUAAUGAAGGACAUGAUCAGGUUGAUUUCUGUGCUGCAUAUUCACCUUCUUGCCUUUGCAAUAGUUUACAUUAUUCUUUGGCUAUACAAAAUAUUGUACUUGAUGUACAGUAAUAAUCCCUCAGA